rnacentral:rRNA from 1 species
UCCGGAGGGGGCUAUCGUUGUUCGGAAUUACUGGGCGUAAAGCGCACGUAGGCGGACUGGAAAGUCAGGGGUGAAAUCCCGGGGCUCAACCCCGGAACUGCCUUUGAAACUCCCGGUCUUGAGGUCGAGAGAGGUGAGUGGAAUUCCGAGUGUAGAGGUGAAAUUCGUAGAUAUUCGGAGGAACACCAGUGGCGAAGGCGGCUCACUGGCUCGAUACUGACGCUGAGGUGCGAAAGCGUGGGGAGAAAACAGG